GCCGGGAUGGCGAAAUCGGCAGACGCACCGGAUUCAAAAUCCGGCGGUAGCAAUACCAUGAGGGUUCGAUUCCCUCUCCCGGCACCA
rnacentral:tRNA from 1 species